rnacentral:rRNA from 1 species
UACGAAGGGGGCUAGCGUUGCUCGGAAUCACUGGGCGUAAAGCGCACGUAGGCGGCUUUUUAAGUCAGGGGUGAAAUCCUGGAGCUCAACUCCAGAACCGCCUUUGAUACUGAGAAGCUUGAGUCCGGGAGAGGUGAGUGGAACUGCGAGUGUAGAGGUGAAAUUCGUAGAUAUUCGCAAGAACACCAGUGGCGAAGGCGGCUCACUGGCCCGGUACUGACGCUGAGGUGCGAAAGCGUGGGGAGCAAACAGG